UUCACAGCAUAGACCUCAUCUUUGCCCUUGAGUUCCGCCAGCAUGACCUGCAACCAGUUUUAACACGUCUGGUCAGUCUUCGCACACUCGGAAUCAGAAUCGAAGGAUGUCAAAUGUCUAAAUGCUAAUUACUUUUUUCCUUUUAUUUUUAAUGAUGACACUUAGGAAGUUACCAUUUUAAAUGCUUAGGGAAACUACCUAACUCUGUCACAGUUCUCAGGGGACCUUGAAGAACGCUAUUCUAAUGUUGCCAUCAAAGUAAAAGAACAAAACCCAAGGAACGUGGGAGGUUGCAGAUUCUGUCACCUACAAAAUACAGCCUAUAUAAAA